rnacentral:rRNA from 1 species
GAUGAACGCUGGCGGCGUGCCUAAUACAUGCAAGUCGAACGAGGUGCUUUUGUAGCAAUACGAGAGUAUCCUAGUGGCGAACGGGUGAGUAACGCGUUGGUGACCUACCCCAAAGUGUGGGAUAACAGUCCGAAAGGAUUGCUAAUACCGCAUGUGGUCUUCAGGUUUAGAAACUGAUGACUAAAGGAGCAAUUCGCUUUGGGAGGGACCUGCGUCCCAUCAGCUAGUUGGUGAGGUAAUGGCUCACCAAGGCUACGACGGGUAGGGGACCUGAGAGGGUGACCCCCCACAAUGGAACUGAAACACGGUCCAUACACCUACGGGUGGCAGCAGUAGGGAAUAUUGCACAAUGGGCGAAAGCCUGAUGCAGCAACGCCGCGUGCACGAUGAAGGCCUUCGGGUCGUAAAGUGCUUUUCUGGGAGAUGAGAAAGGACAGUAUCCCAGGAAUAAGUCUCGGCUAACUACGUGC